AGUUGGGUGCAGCCGACUAUAUUGCAGUUGCUGAAAACUAUCACACUGUUUUCAUAUCUGAUAUUCCAGUGAUGAGUAUGCGCAUCCGUGACAAGGCAAGGAGAUUUAUAACCCUAAUUGACGAGUUGUACAAUCAUCAUUGCUGCCUUUGUUGCUUGGCAUCCUCCUUAAUUGAUGAAUUAUUUCAAGGAACUGAGGAUGGCACACUUUUUGACUUGGAGAGUUUCUAGUUUGAAACAGAGACCGAAGGUGCUAAACUUCGCCGUGAUGUCUUAGCAGAAGGCAAUGUGGGCUUAGGAGGUACUCAUGUU